ACCCGGUUACAUUCCGAACCCGGAAGUUAAGCUUCUCUGCGCCGAUGGUACUGCACUCGCCAGGGUGUGGGAGAGUAGGUCGCCGCCGCAC
rnacentral:rRNA from 1 species